CGUGUUUAAAGGCAGCCACAACUAAGCUGGAGCUCGGCCAUAAAAACCGAGGCAAAGCAAACAGUUGUGCCCCCGGGCCUGCCCUCUGCAACGCGGCACCAGCCUGGGACGAGAGCAUCAGGCCUGGAGACUGGGGGGAAGCCCGGGGGGUCCCGGGCCGGAAAGACAUCGUAAAAGGGAUUUAAGAAAUCCCAUUGGAUGGUUUCCGAGGGCCGGGGCGCUGCGGAUCGCAUCACCGACACAAGCAAACGUCCCUGUGUGGGAAGUGGCUGCGUGGCGGCGGCUACCAGAAAGGAGACCUGCCCACCCACUGGUGGAUCAUGAUGAGGAUGCAGGAGAGUAUAUAGUAUAUAAAUAGUAAGUAUAUAGUAUAUAGAUAGAUAUAGUAUAUAUAGUAUAUAGUAUAUAUAUAG
rnacentral:lncRNA from 1 species